GCCCCCAGGUCCUGCGGCCCCCAGCCCCCGCCACCCCGGCGCCAGCCCCUCUCACCCUUUCAUUCUCUGCCCGGGGCCUGACGCGGGCCGGCGGAUCCCCGGCCUCACAUCAGAGUGAGAGGCGCUGGCAAUGGACUAGGAAGCUCGGCUGCCGCUGCUACUGCUCCCCCCUGGGCUCCGGCGAGAGCCUUUCCCUGUCAAGCAAGAGGGGUGAGGAUCAUAUUUUUAUUUUGGAAACUAAAAAGUGCUCCCAGGGUCGGUGAUUAUUAAGGGGAAAUCCCUGAAUAUACUCUCCAGCCAAGAAGGCAGGGCUGCCGGGGCUGCACAAGAAGAGGCAGCAGCCUCCUACAGCACCACUACAGGCACUGCGAGGACAUAACACCAGAGAGCCGCUCCUCUGCCCUCCGAAACGACAACUUUCCUACCAUCUUGGAGGCAGAGGAAAGGGGGGCCGGGGGGAAAAGUGCACCCGCUCCCGAUAAAGUGCAAAUUUCGACUUCUCAUCUCUGGAAAAAAGUCCAUACCGGCCGUCUACACUGGCGCCUGGGGGAGAAAGCAGGGAAGAAACUGGGGGUGCUUGAGAAACGUUUUCAUUCGCACCUCGGGGGAAAAUGUUUCUGCAUCUUCUGAUGGAAAGAAAUCUUUACAAGACACAGGUUUUCCGGUGAUUAUUGUUUUCUGUUUCCUAUGUGAUUUUUUUCCAGGUUGGUGGCAGUGGCAUUUUAAUUUUUUUUUUCAGGCUAAUAAUGAUUCUUCUCCGUUGCGGAUCGGAUCCAAGUUCUGUGUCUGGUGGUCAGUUUAUAAAUUUGUACUUCAAGAGACUUCAUAGCCACUGUAUCUUAUAUUGGUCUAUGGAUAUGUUUUUACAUGCAUAUUUGCAAGUCGCUUUCUAUAUAAAAAUUUGUAUUAUAUAUUCCACUCAAAACUGAGAUUGCCAAAAGACAAUUGUUAAGGGAUGUCUUUUGUCUCCUUGUCUCAAAGCUAUGUAAAUAAAACCUGACUGUCCAGAAAGGCAUGAUCCAGCUGUUUAUUUUUCACAGUGCCAAUAAAGGCAGAGAUCACUGAGAGGUUAAAUACAAUUUAAGUAUAACUGAGCACAUUUCUGAGAAUAAUCCUCAUUCUGUUAUGGUCUACCCAUGAAGAAAGGUUACUGUAAAACUGGAAAUAGACUUGAAAAGACAGCUUUAGAUUUUCUUUAAAAUUGCUUAUUGAGGAAAUGUGAUUAUUCUACCCAGAUAUUUGAUUUUCUCAUUAGAUUCUUUAGGGGUUAGAUCUUUGGCGCAUCGCACAUGUUGCUGUCCACUUUCUGUGUCACAGAGUGGAAAAAUGUGUGUUUUUGUUAGAGUUGAUAUGUUGUUGGUUCUUAACUUCCAGUGUGCUGCCAGCUGUAUAAAUCACUUUUAAUAUAUUGCAGUGGUUGUCACAGAUCUACUUUUUUUAAAUGAGCACAGCUUAGUGGAUAAAUGGGAUCAAAGUUACCCAAAGCUGAGGUAGCACCGAGAUCAGAGAAGGGUACCGCCCACUUGCAACAAUUCCCAUGGACUCUUACUGGAGGAGAAUAAGUUACAGAGAUAUUUUCCUAUUUUUGCGAAGAAAGAGAAUACCAGAAAAAUUAUCAGAGGAACUUCUUAUAUGUUCUACAGGGAAUGAUGAACUGAAUCUUGUACUAAAAGUUAUUUUUCUGACAUACGUUGGCCAACCGAGUGGGAAUGGAUUUGUGAUGUUAGUGCCUCGAAUCAGCAGAAUAUUUAAUUUCUCUCAUUUAAAAUGUAUUGCAAAGCAUUUAGAAAUGACUGAUGACUCCACUUAAAAAUGUUUAUUUUUUGAGAUUCCAAAUUUAGAAGAAAUUCCCAUAAGGUUAAAGUGAGUUCAGAUAAUGCAUGUAUCAGAUAAUUAUUAUUUUCAUGUUGACCCCAUCUUUGUCCUCUAAAUUUGAAUACAGUACCUGAAUACUUUGGGUUUUCUUUUUGUGGCCUUUUAUUUUUCUCUGUAGUAGAAAAAUCUGAAAUAAUUAAGGUGUAAAGUUAACAGAUUCUUAUCAUCUUGGAAACCUCAAUUGUGAAGUUGUGUUCUAUGUGCAACUUUUUAAAAAACAUUUGGAGAGCAAACACAUUGGUCAUAACAAGGAAAUUACUUCUCUUAACGUGGAACUCUAGUGGACUCAAAAAACGGGUUUUUGAACUUGUUCCUAUAUAUGAUGUGACCUUAUAGGUAUGCUUUACAUUUUCAAGAAAUUAAGAUGUGUUCGCUUUAAGCUGACUGCACCCUUUUAUGCAAUCCCUCUUGUGACACCCAAACUUAUUUGUGUGAUAGGGAUAUGGGAUAUGGUGCAUAAUCUUAGCAUCUCAGUGUCUUUCUCUUUAUAAAGCUUGACUUGUACAUGGCUAUAAUCCAUGAUGUUUAUCCACCAGCUGAGCUAAAUAACCCAGACCUGGGGAAUUACAGUUUAACCAAGAAAGAAAUCUCACUACAUUUUGCAAUAUUGGUGAAUUUAAUUGGCCAGUAUUUCAGGUGAUAAUUGAAUUCCUUUUAGGUGCUAUGUCUCCCCAGUUACUAGAUGCUAAAGGUGCUAACAAAACUACUGACAUAAUUAAUCUUAAAUAACCCUAUUUUUGCUCAAUAAAAUUCCCAAUAUUCGAAUUUGUCUAACAUUAUUGAGCACCUAGUGCAUUUUGGUAACCUUGUUGGACACUUUAUGUAUGUGCUCUCAUUUAAUACCCCCAAGAGCUCCAAACAGAGUUAUUUUUCCUUCUUUUCUCUCCUCUUUCUCCUCCUCCUCCUCCUCUUCUUUUUCCUUUCUUUACUUAAAUACUGUUGGGAUCACUUCUUGGCCCUAAAACUUAAUAAAAAGAUUUCAAAUUCUCCUCUAGAAUUUCCGAGGUGCCUGCCACAGCUCUAUGUUCUGGAUCUGGAAAUGCGAAAUUCCUGCCAUGUGCUCUGUGCCAAAACCAAAUGUUGAGUAGCCAGCAAUUGGAGCCCUCUUCAUCAGUGACAAGUGGCCUAGCUCACCUUUGUGAGCUGGUAACUAAGUCUCUCCAUUAUGUUAAAGAAUGCAAAAAGAUAAAUAUAGUUGCCAAUUGAAAUAGCACUGUGAUUGAGAGACUUCCUCUUGAUCCUGAAAACUAACAGUAUAUGUUGUAAAGUACUAGCAUAAUUGGAAAUGCCACCUGUGGUUGUAAAGUUAUGCUGUUUCAUAAAGAUCUAGUUAACAGAUGACAGUGCAUCCAUGAAUGCCAGGUUUACCUUAUGUGAUACGUGAAGCAAUAGUGUCUUUUAUUUAUUCUGUUAAUUUCGGAAGACUUAAUUUCACAGUUUGGCCUGUAGGUGAAGUGGGAAAUGUUUGCCUUAAUAUUUUUACUAUUGGAAUCUUUAAUUGAUCUGUAUUUUGGUAUUAAUGAUUGUAAUUUUGUAAAAAUUAACCACCUUAUUGUGAACAUUAUAGUGAAGUGAAGAAAAUACCACCUGUAUAUCCUUUAAAGGUCUCAUUCAUAGAUUGUGUGGAUUUCAAGUGAAAGAGUUUUGCAUACUUAAUAUUAUUAGAUAUCUUUAAGCAAUAAAGCCAUGACUUUAUUGGCAAA